GCGAGGGCUCACCGAGACCGACGCCCGCACUCCCCCGCCCCCCCACGCUGGAGCGCCAGGGCAAGCGCUGGUCCUAAGGGUCCAUGCCCUCCGAACUCCGAGGGGGACAAAGGCUUUACAUGCCAGGGAAGGCUCUGUAGUGGGACGCGCUCCCCGAAAGCCUUGCUUCUCCGACCGGCCCAGCUUCCCAUCUGCCGCCACAUCCCCGCCAGGAGCGCCCUCCUCCGUGCCUGGCCGCCUGUCCAGCUCCUGUUCACCAAGCGCCCUUGAAACAGGGCCAGCCGAAUCGGAUUCCUCUCUCCUCCCAGGCCCAGCACAAUCAGUUUGUACCUUUCCCACGCACAGUGUGUGCCCUGUCUCCUAUUCUAGCUGUCUGUUUACUAGUCUUGUCCUAGCCAGAUUAGAAGGUCCUUGAGGCAGAAACAAAGUCUGCUGCUUCUUUGAGGCCUCUUCCCUGCCCCUCCAAUUCAUCUCACCCAGGCCGCGCCUGGCACCCGAGCUGAUGUUCAAUAAAUAUUGGGUGUAUUGAAAUGAUUUCCUGCCCUCUGGUAGUUGUCAGGCCAGUUGCAGAGACAAACACAGGGUGUGUGGGGUUAAAUAAUAACCGAAGCCAGCAGGUGGGGAGUAUCAAAUGUGGGUGACAAGGGCCGAGGAUUUAGCUCAGUGGUUCUGGCGCCUGCCUUGAAAGCACAAGGUCCCGAGUUUGAUCCCCGGUACCAAACAAACAAAAUAAUAAGUAUGCAAGUUCCCUGACUAUUGGCAUGGAAAAAUAAUUUUGGGGCCAGGGAUUUAGCUCAGUGGUUUCGCCGCCUGCUGCACAAGUACAAGAACCCGAGUUUGAUCCCCAGCACCACCCCCCCAAACUGUGGGUGACAGCUAUGGGGACUCAGAGGGAAGGAGGUGGUGAUUGGGGAGCAAGUUCCCAGGAGGUUCUAGGUCUUGAGCUGACUGUGUAGGAGGAUGGGGAGGGGCCGGGUGGAGGUGACUCAUGGGGGUUGACAUCACCACAAAACAGCCUUCCUGCUGGGUACUUUACAUGCAUUAUCUCUGAUAUUUGG
rnacentral:lncRNA from 1 species